AAUUAUAUAUAGUGAUCAUCAGAGGACUUGGCUGAAACAACGCGAUUCACAUGGAUUACUUCGGCGAUGUUUUUUAUUGCUGUUGCGAUUAACUUUUUGAAAUGUGAGCAGUUUUUAAGUAGGUUAUCAAGUGGAUCUGACAUCGAGGGGAAAUAUACGUUUCUUGGAUUUCAUUAAAGUACAUCGGUUUUUGUUUGAAGAUGAAUGAGAGAACAUGAGGCACAGCGGCAUUCAAAUUGACCAAUCAGAGCCGAGAAUAUCUAAUAAGUCGAAGUAGAGAUGAACAGAUGAAGAUACAGCCCGUAAAAAUACUUAUUCUUGGUGAGUGCCAUGUAGCGACGGAUCAAACGGACACUCAUGUCAAGCUUGAUGAGGACACAGUCAAAGCUUUAAAAGACCUUGUGAUUAAGUCUUCAGUGUCUGAAUGGCAAGAAGAAGUGACCCUCCACUUAAACGUGACAUUUAAACUGCUCUGUGUUUUGGUUCAGCCAUUUGUAGGUUUAUCUCGAGUAAGUUCAAAUGCACUUCUGCAUUUGUCCAGUAACUUUUUGUUUAGAGAAUUACAUCAUUAUGAUUAUAUAAUUAUUCAAUGGUUGCAUAUUCAUAGUGUACUUUUCAUAUUGAUGUAUUAAUGUUCCACAAUUUGAUAAAAGUAGCUCAUUGCAUUUCACUGAUCUUUGUUUUAUAUUGUAAAAUCAUUUCAAUAGCAGUGAAUACAUACUUAGUUGUUUCUUUAACAUUUAAUUAGUUGUUAAUGAUGGAAGAAACCGGUUCGUAUGUAUGAAUACAGUAUAGGUAUCAUUUUAGAAUGAGUUAAAACAUGUUUUGGUGUCAAACAUGCAGGUAAAAUAGUACAUGUAUAACAUUCUAAUAGUAAACUUGACUGUAAUUCAAAUGUCACAUACAGUACAUUAGAAAUGAUUUAUUUUAUGUAUACAAAUGUGUGGGCAAUAUAUUAUUAUUUCAUUUUGUAUGCUAUAUUAUUUAUGUAAUAUUAUUAUAUCUGAAAUUAUUAAAUUACAUUUAUAAAUGUUUAAAAGGUGGGUUCAAAUGUGCUUCAAGCUGUAACUGAAUACAAUUUUAGAAAAUAGCACAGUUGAGUACACUU